CAACACCUCAUUUUACUCUCCCUCGCACCUCUCUCAACGUUUUUACUAGGGCACACGUUUCUCCUCUCUGUUGCCUUCGACGCUCUUGCUGCUCAUUUUCUGAUAUCGUCAACAACGGCCGUCGAUCUCUCCGGCGACAACAACUUCUUCUCCGAUUCGAUCUUGCGGUAGAAUUAAAUUUCGUUACAAAAUACUUCCUACUCCAGAUUAUAAUGAAUUGUUCAAAUGUUGAUUUGGUGAGAGCAAGAAAUCGGUGGUGUUUGGAGUAUAUCUUCUUUGGAAUUCUGAAUUCAUGAAUGGAAGCUCCCAUUUGAAUAUUAUUCUUUUAGUUCAUGUCGAUCCCAUCUUGUAAGCUUCUUUGGGAGAUGAAGGGAUUGAAUUGGGAUUUUCUUCAAUUAAUUUCUAUUUUGUUGACAUAUAAGCAUGUUUGCAAGAUCAAGUGAUUGGGUGAUCUAAUUACCAUUGAGUAAAUGGAAAUCAACUGUAUGAAAUGCUUCUUCCUUUUAAAUAUGUUCCCAAAUUUUGAAUGUCAAAUUUGUUUAUUUUUAUUCCAUAUGCAUUUUGGAUCAAUUUAUGAAAUCUAUUGCUAGUACUAGUUCCAUAGAAUGUACAUAUGUUCUAGCAAUUUGCUGCAUCUAUCGACAUUUUUCUGCACUGUAUUAAAAAUGUUUAUUCAAACAAUGUCCUUUUAUUUACUAAUGUUGGUUGCUUUGCGUUUUCAUUUUCGAGGUUUCUUUGCUCAUUUGUAUUAAUGUUGGGAUUGCAUUAGAUAUUAUGACUGAAACUGUGAUUACUCAGUGUUUUAUUAAUGUUGGUAAGAAUGCAUAAAAAAGAUUUAGAAUGUUUGUUAAAUUCUAUUUCGAUUCUUAUUUUCAAGUUUUGUUAGUUUAAUUUGAUAUCUCGUUAGGUAUUAACUUGUUGUGUAAUUUGAUUUCUAGAUAUCUAAUUACCUUGAAUCGAUCUGUAAAUAAAAUUUCAAUAUAAUGGAUCGAAGUUGGAUAAAUUUGAAAGACCAAGGGUCUAGUCAAUAUUCAAAUGGUGUCAUCAAUUUUCUUGAAGUUGUUAAGAAUUAUUUGGUGAAUAAGGAAGAAUAAAAUAUGCAUUUUCAAACUAUUUGGAUAUCAUUGGAAUAAAUUAGAUGAUAUAGAAUGUCAUUUAUUCAAAUAUGGAAUGUCUAUGACUUAUAAUCGAUGGAUAUUUCACGGAGAAAAAGUAGAUCUUCCUCUAUUUUUAAGACAUGAUUCAAGGUUUCUUAGUGCUACAUUUUUUAGAUUCUAGUCAUAAUAGAGAAGAUGAUGGUUUUGAGUAUUCAUUGCAACCACAAUUUGUUAAAGCUUGAAUAACUUGGUAGUUUCUUUUUUGUUGGUUGCAUUAACAAAGUGUAAUUUUGUGUACUAACAACUUAACUUGUUAUACUUAUUUUGGAAAACUUGUGGAUCUUCACUUUGACAAAGUUUGUUUAGAAUUCUAGAUUUUUUUUUUUUCGGUUUUGUAAAGAUAUAACAGAUUAAUUAAUAUAUUUGAUUCUAUAUUGUUUUGUAUUGAAGUGUUGGUAUUAGGUUAGCUUAAAUUAUACUUUAGUUUUUUCUUUUAAAAAAUAGUAGAUAACUUUUGCAACGUUUUAUAUGAUACUAGAAAAAGAAACACAUCAGCUAGCAAAAGUUCAAUUUCAGUUGGAUAUUUAGUGACGCUACUAUUCUAUUUUAGAGUGGUAUGUAAUUUUAGAGGUUUAUGUUGUGCCUUUCUUAUUAAUGGAAAUGAGUAAUAUACUUUAAAUACAAUAUUUUAUCUAUUAAAACCCAAGUGCAAGCCUAAACAGAGUUUUGGUGAGUCAAAGGUCGAACACAGGGACUGUCGACUGAGAUGCGUUGAAAUUAAUGUUUGAUCUUAAGGCGAUGAUUUUUUCAAAUAUGUGUUGAGAAUGUUUCACACAACUAACUAAAUGACUAAAUUACAAGUGUGGUGGAAGUAGAUGAUGGUGAUUGGCGUGAGUGAUAAUGGAUGACGAUGCGUCAAAUGUUGGUAAUGAAAAUGAUGAUUGUGAUUACAAUCACAAUGCAUCAUCGUGAAGUAGGAAGAAAAUAUAAAUUGAUAAAACAGGGUUGAGAAGGCUUACUAGCAUUUUUUUAAGCAAUGCAUGAGUCUCUGUCCAUGUAUUAGCUCAUAAAUGAAGCAUUCAUUUCUCAACGUUUUUAUGUCACAUUUUUUCUAUCUCUAGGAUGCAUGCGAUGGUUAAUUAUACACAAAAGGUUGAAUUUUUCUCUAAAGCUACUUUUCUCUUUGUCAAUGAGAUCCACAAUCACUUACUCUUUCAAACAGUUGAUUAUUUCUACUUAAAUUAAUUUGUCAGAUGGAUUUAAGCAAUGUAAUAAACACACAUUAACAAGCUAAACUUUAACUCAUGCACAACUUGUGAAAAUGCUAGUUGAAGUCUUCUCGACCCAUUAGAAAAUUAGUUGCAUGUGAUGAAAAAGAGAAUACACAUGAAUGGAUAGAAUGUGGAGGAAAUCAAAUUUAUAUUAAGAAGAAUGGGGUUUCUCAAUCUCAAUUACUUAAUACAAAUGUAUAUGAAAAGAAAAAUAUGAUAAAGAACAGAGAAUAAAUGUGUCAAGUUACCGGUCACAAUCUCUUGUUUCCCGUAGCUUAUAUGGUGGAUGCUCAAAUGAAGGUUGUAAUGAUGGUAGUGGAGCUCUUUCUUCUUUUUCAGAGAGGAAUAUUGAGAUCUUAUUCAGAAUUCUCAAGGAAAAGCUUGAAGGAGUGGUGGUAAUGGGGGAUUGAGGUGGAGUUUAAGCAGAGUUUCAACCUAUCUCUUGAUGGGAAGUUUGUUGUCCUUAGCAAUUUUCUGAUGGACUAUUUAUAGGAAUCAAAAAGGGAAGCUUCCUUGCCUCUUUCUUAUGAUUUGCUAACACCUUUGCAUUUAAUUUCAUGUCCUGCUGCACCGACUACUCACAUCACAGGUUCAUUGGUCUGUCGCAAAUAUCUUAAAUCAGCUACCAACUUGCAUUUUGAUUUGACAUCCACUGUCCACGUGCCUUGUCAUUUUCUUUCAUGUUGUCUGCUCAAUGAGUUGUCCUCUGUGUGCAAGAUUGGGCAUCUAUCUAAUCACUUUCUAUGUGUCCAUGGCUGCAGCUUUUGUUUCCUUGGUUGUACUUCAUUUCAUUCAAAUCCUGCAUUCAAAGAUGUUGGAUUUUAUAAUUUCCAAAAUUUAUGAGCUUUGUAAUGCAUGAAUGCAAGGUGUGAUUAUCUACAUGAAUUUUAUAUCAAGUUAAUGUAUUUUUCUCUAA